UACGUAGGGGGCAAGCGUUGUCCGGAAUCAUUGGGCGUAAAGCGCGUGUAGGCGGUUCCGUAAGUCCGCUGUAAAAGUCCAGGGCUCAACCCUGGAAAGCCGGUGGAUACUGUCGGGCUAGAGUCCGGAAGAGGCGAGUGGAAUUCCUGGUGUAGCGGUGGAAUGCGCAGAUAUCAGGAGGAACACCGAUGGCGAAGGCAGCUCGCUGGGACGGUACUGACGCUGAGGCGCGAAAGCGUGGGGAGCGAACAGG
rnacentral:rRNA from 1 species